rnacentral:lncRNA from 1 species
GCAAGCCAGCAACCCCCUCCUAUCUGUCAUUUUCCCUCUUUCUUUAUUUCCUCCCUUCUCCUGUUUUUCCUCCAGAUAAUAUUCCAUAAUCAUUUUCUACUUUUUGCAGUUGAAGAAAGGGUCAAAGACAAGCUCUCAGCCACAGCGAAAGAAAAGUUACUGGCUAAAGAACGAGAACGUCAAAUCCAACAAGAGCGGAAAAAGAGGGCAGCAGCAUUCCUGAAUCUCCUACAGAAAGAUAGACUAGUUACUUCAAACCACAAUCAAGAAGGUGGAUCUACAGCCACACAAAAUAAUGUUGCAGAAGCUGAUGAUGUAGAAUCAUUACCAUCCCCUUCAUCUGUGAUAGCGAUCUCUGACAAUUCUAGCGAUGAAGAAGAAAAUUCUGGGAAGAAGAAAAAAUUAAAUGGCUCGCAGGUGAACCAUCCUGUCAUCGAUUUAAGUCCGUUAUCAAGCUCCAGACGUCAGAAGCGAUCACCUUCACCUAGUUUAAAUCCUCCCAAGAAGAAAAGGAAGAAACAUUCCAGCAAGUCAUCUAAAAAGUAAGUUGAUUAUUUCAUUCAUAACAGGUGAUAAUUUUCCAGCAUAAAUACCACUUGUUAUGAAACAGCCAGGAAUGAAUGAAAUACAGAAUUCAUCAAAGUGUUGCAGUAAUAGAAAUUUUCAAAUUGCAAGGAGCAUACCUAUCGUUUUAUAAAUUGUUGGCUUCCGAAAAGUAAAAUUGAAUUUCUUUCCAAUUAAUCGUAAUUUUUUUUAACACAUUCACUGCCAACAUAUUUUUGUGAAAUUGUUUCUGGCAGGCCAAAAAAGAGCGGGAAAAAGGCGGAAUAUUGAAUUAGGCUGGUUAGCACAGCGCCGUUCAAAAGACUGGUCACUGUGAUGGUUUUGCCUGUAACGAUCAACAAAAGAUUAGUCACUAUAGCUUGGCAGUGAUCUUGUUAAUGGAAACAAUGCUAUGACUUUUGUUACAAUUUAAAGAGCUAACCUUCUAUCCUCCAGAGCUUAUUUUCGAGCUGUUCAUUGUAAGUCAGUAUUUUUUAUUCAACAUCCUGAUAUUUAUCAUUUUACUUCUACUUAAAAGUUUUUUCUAGUUUACAGCUGUUUUAUUAUUAUCUAAUUUUUUUGUUUUGGGGGGGGGGGGGGGUCGUGAUUAAACUUGAAUUUUUUAAUAUACUCUCCCUAGCUCUCCCCUGAUUUGAUCCGCUAAAACCACUAAUUAAUUCACCUGUUCAUGAUGUUUCAGAUCUCAUUCAAAAGCAGUCAUAAGAGCCGUCACAAGUCAGACCAACACAGAAAACACUCUAAAAACACUCUCGGAGUGAAUCUCAGAAACAUUUGCACAAGCGUCAUAGACACUCUAGCAAACCAAACGACGCCACGAAAAGAAAUCAAAGCACCGCAGUUCCUCCAGUUCAUCUAGUUACGAUUCGGAAUCUGACAGUUCCUCAAGUUCAAGUUAAGACUGAUCUUCUGCCUUUAUUCUAAUUGAAUUGCAAAAUUUCAACGGCAUAAUGUAAGCCUACCAGGUACUUCUUAUAAUUGUUUGAAGGCUAUAAUGCAAUGUGGGCAUUGUGCUGAGUCCCAAAGAAGCGUCUGGGACGACUAUGAAGGGAUCAUGAACACCAUCCGCUACCUGGUUCAUUGCAUUCUCCAAGCGCUCGACCAGUUGCCGCAAAUCAGAAUCUCGUGUCGAGGUAAGCGCUAUACACCGCCUCCAAGAUCAUCAGCGGGUAAACGCUGCCCAGCGGCCAAGGAAAGAGACUUAAGGAAACGUCAGACUUCCAUCUCAACUUACUCUUCUCAUUCCACUGACUCUGUAUGUUAACUAAGCAUUCAAGAUUUUAAUAUAGUCUUGAAAUAAACUAUGUAAUUUCUUAAUGAGGGUUUUAUCCUUUUUUCGUCGGGCAAGAUAAAACUGUCAACAGCAAGCUUAAUUUUUUACCUCUAUUACAAAUGUGAACCAGUUUUUAGCAAGACUUCCCG